rnacentral:rRNA from 1 species
GGAUGAACGCUAGCGGCAGGCUUAACACAUGCAAGUCGAGGGGUAACGAUUUUGAGUAAUCAAAAGGCGACGACCGGCGCACGGGUGAGUAUCGCGUUUGUAACCUACCCCUGACUGGAGCAUAGCCCGAAGAAAUUCGGAUUAAUACUCCAUAAUACUGCGAGAAGGCACCUUUUUUCAGUUAAAGCUUCGGCGGUCAGAGAUGGGCAUGCGUAACAUUAGCUGGUUGGUGAGGUAACAGCUCACCAAGGCUACGAUGUUUAGGGGGUCUGAGAGGAUGGUCCCCCACACUGGUACUGAGACACGGACCAGACUCCUACGGGAGGCAGCAGUGAGGAAUAUUGGUCAAUGGGCGAAAGCCUGAACCAGCCAUGCCGCGUGAAGGAUGACGGCCCUAUGGGUUGUAAACUUCUUUUAUACGGGAAGAAACCCCUCUACGUGUAGGGGGCUGACGGUACCGUACGAAUAAGCAUCGGCUAACUCCGUGCCAGCAGCCGCGGUAAUACGGAGGAUGCAAGCGUUAUCCGGAUUUAUUGGGUUUAAAGGGUGCGUAGGCGGAAAAUUAAGUCAGUGGUGAAAUCCUGCAGCUUAACUGUAGAAUUGUCAUUGAUACUGGUUUUCUUGAAUACAGUUGAGGUAGGCGGAAUGAGUAAUGUAGCGGUGAAAUGCUUAGAUAUUACUCAGAACACCAAUUGCGAAGGCAGCUUACUAAACUGUGAUUGACGCUGAGGCACGAAAGCGUGGGGAGCGAACAGGAUUAGAUACCCUGGUAGUCCACGCCGUAAACGAUGAUCACUCGUUGUUGGCAAUACACCGUCAGCGACUGAGCGAAAGUAUUAAGUGAUCCACCUGGGGAGUACGAUUGCAAGAUUGAAACUCAAAGGAAUUGACGGGGGCCCGCACAAGCGGAGGAACAUGUGGUUUAAUUCGAUGAUACGCGAGGAACCUUACCUGGGCUUAAAUGCAUAACGACGGAUCGGGAAACUGGUCUUUCUUCGGACGGAAUGCAAGGUGCUGCAUGGCUGUCGUCAGCUCGUGCCGUGAGGUGUCGGGUUAAGUCCCAUAACGAGCGCAACCCUCAUCAUUAGUUGCCAGCGGGUAAUGCCGGGGACUCUAAUGAACUGCCGGUGUAAACCGAGAGGAAGGCGAGGAUGACGUCAAGUCAGCACGGCCCUUAUGUCCAGGGCUACACACGUGUUACAAUGGUCAGUACAAAGGGCAGCUACCAGGCAACUGGAUGCUAAUCUCAAAAGCUGGUCACAGUUCGGAUCGGAGUCUGCAACUCGACUUCGUGAAGUUGGAUUCGCUAGUAAUCGCGCAUCAGCCAUGGCGCGGUGAAUACGUUCCCGGGCCUUGUACACACCGCCCGUCAAGCCAUGGAAGCCGGGGGUACCUGAAGUUCGUAACC